rnacentral:lncRNA from 1 species
CUCAGCACCCCAUCCAACUCCCCCACCAUCCACAUCCUUCUUCGUCAAGCAACGUCUCUACUGUCUCUGCAGUUGCGCACAGAAGAAGAUAUCAGGUUUACACCUAAAACAACCACUUCUCUUGAUUUACCUCUCCCCUUACCACUUCUCUUAUUGCCUCUCUUCUUCUUGUUCUUUCUCUCCCUCUGCUCUCUAGCCACCAUCACCCACAGCGUCUUCCACGGCUUCUUCGGCCGUCCCGUCAAACUUCUCUCUACAGUCACCUCUCUCCUCUCCUCCUUUCUUCCUCUCCUUACCACAACCAUCCUCUCCCACCUCAUCCUCUUCACCAUCUCCCUCCCCAUCCCCCUCCUCCGCCUCUCCUUCUCCUUCUCUGAAAUCAUUCGCACUGUCUCCGCCAUCCUCGUUCUUGCACUCUCCCUUCUCAUCUUCUACAUCCGUAUCUCAUGGACACUCUCCUCCGUCAUCGCCAUAGUGGAAAACACCUACGGAAUUCAACCACUCCGCCGGAGUGCUCAUCUGAUGAACGGAAUGAAAUACACCGGAGCUUCUUGUUUUUUCUUCUUUGCUUCUUUGGAAGGAAUUAUGCUGUGGAGUGGUUUUCUUCUAGCUAGAGUUGUUUCAGACAGUGGUUCAUGGAGGGAUUGGGCUUUUAUGGUUCAGAUUGUGUUGACUUCCGCCGUGAUGACAGUGUUGAUGCUUUACAACGCCGCCGCGAACACCGUGCUGUAUAUGUACUGUAAGGCUCUACAUGGUGAACUGGCGGAGGAGAUUGUGGAGGAGUUUGCGUGGCAGUAUGUGAGUUUGCCUUUUGAUGAUGGCAAAGUUCCUCAUGUGGUGUCUGUUGUACACGCUUGAGUGAGUUGUGAAUCUGUGUGUCUGGUUGUUGUAACUUGUAACAUACAUUUUGGUUUUGUAUAAAAUCUAUGUUAUUUUUAGAUUUGUGACAUAUCAAAU